rnacentral:rRNA from 1 species
UACGUAGGGUGCAAGCGUUGUCCGGAAUUAUUGGGCGUAAAGAGCUCGUAGGCGGUCUGUCGCGUCUGCUGUGAAAACCCGGGGCUCAACCCCGGGCUUGCAGUGGAUACGGGCAGACUAGAGUUCGGUAGGGGAGACUGGAAUUCCUGGUGUAGCGGUGAAAUGCGCAGAUAUCAGGAGGAACACCGGUGGCGAAGGCGGGUCUCUGGGCAGUAACUGACGCUGAGGAGCGAAAGCGUGGGGAGCGAACAGG